CAGGCCUAACACAUGCAAGUCGAACGGCAGCACGGGAGCAAUCCUGGUGGCGAGUGGCGAACGGGUGAGUAAUACAUCGGAACGUGCCCAAUCGUGGGGGAUAACGCAGCGAAAGCUGUGCUAAUACCGCAUACGAUCUACGGAUGAAAGCAGGGGACCGCAAGGCCUUGCGCGAAUGGAGCGGCCGAUGGCAGAUUAGGUAGUUGGUGAGGUAAAGGCUCACCAAGCCUUCGAUCUGUAGCUGGUCUGAGAGGACGACCAGCCACACUGGGACUGAGACACGGCCCAGACUCCUACGGGAGGCAGCAGUGGGGAAUUUUGGACAAUGGGCGCAAGCCUGAUCCAGCAAUGCCGCGUGCAGGAUGAAGGCCUUCGGGUUGUAAACUGCUUUUGUACGGAACGAAACGGCUUCUUCUAAUACAGGAGGCUAAUGACGGUACCGUAAGAAUAAGCACCGGCUAACUACGUGCCAGCAGCCGCGGUAAU
rnacentral:rRNA from 1 species